UCCCAAAGGUAAAAGGAAAUUAAUUAAUAAAAAAUAGCGGUCCAAGGGAUUCUGUGUAAUGGUGAAUGUUCACACUGCAGUCCAAAUCGUUAUACCUAGUAGUUUCGGCUUUUUUUAUUCCUGUAAAUUGCAUUCCCAAUUCCAAGACAAGAAAUAGGAAUUGAUUUGCGAUACUCUAAGCAGAAAACAGUGUUUCAGCAAGCACAGAGCAGAGGCAGAGAGCAAAAUUUGACGGUGGGCCCGAUGAAUAACGUUUGCAAUAACCUCGGCUUCAGACUCAGAUUCGUGAGAAGCAUAUGCCCAAGUAGGUUUUCUACACAUCUCUCCCCUCUCUUGUUUAUGCAACUCCCAAUACCCAAUUACCAAAUUCAAUCCUCCCCCUCAUGUUUAGCAUUUUUAUUGUUUUUCUCUUCUUCCGCAAAGUCGAAAUCUAAAUCCAAUCAUCAAAACAAUCUCCGUCAGAGAACCCACGGUGAAAGAAGAAGCUCUCUGGGCAAUGCCCAUAUGACUGGUGGGUUGAACCCCAAGGAAAGUGAAGCACAGUUUGAAAAAUGGACACAAACACUGCAAAGGGGAUUCCAGCCAGAAGAUGUUGCAGAAGUUUUGAAGCAGCAAACGGACCUUGACCUUGCUUUUGAUAUUUUUCGGUGGGCUUCUCAGCAGAAAAGGUACAAACAUACCCACUUAACAUAUCAACUCAUGAUCCAAAAACUAUCUUCUGCACCCACAUUACAAAAAAUGGAGAUUCUUAUUGAUGAAGUGAUGGCUGGAGUUUGUGAUGGUAGUGAGUCCCUGUUUAACACUGUUAUUUUUGCCUGUAUUCAAGCUGGGUGGCUGAGUAGGGCAAUUAGUAUGUAUAGGCACAUGUGGAAUACCUCAGAUUGUAAGCCUUCUCUCAAAACAUACAACCUAUUACUCAGCGCCCUUGUAAAUAAAAAAAACAAUAACAAUUCUUAUAUAAGCCACAUGCAUAUGCAGAAUAUGCGAGCUUUGUUCAAGCAAAUGAUAGAUGGCAAUGUUGCUCCUGAUAUUUUCACCCUAAAUGUUAUGAUCAAAGGUUAUGCCAAGUCCUUGCACAUGAAUGAUGCUCUCAGAAUCUUCCAUCAGAUGGACCUCUAUGGAUGCUCUCCAAAUGCACACACUUACAAUUAUCUGAUCACAGGACUCUGUUUGCAAAGUAGAACUAUCAAUGCCAUGGAGAUUUACCAGGAAAUGAUUGUUAAAGGGUUUGCUCCAACUAACAUGGUUUAUAAUUCGCUGAUUAACAGCCUGUCCCUUGCUGGGCAAUUGGAGGAAGCAAUUAGAAUCCUCAGGGAAAUGAUAGACAAACUGGGAGUUCCAGAGUUUAUUACAUACAAGACACUUGUUGACGGACUUUGCAGAGAAGGCAAGGGGCAGGAGGCUAGAAAACUGCUGCAGGAGUUUCGUCAGAAGGAUCGUUCUCUGGAUGGGAUUUCUUAUAGGGAAUUAUUCAAUCACUUGCAUUCAAGGAGUGAAACUAUGGACUGAAAGGGCCGGAAACUUCUCGGUGAUUGAAAUGCCCUUCUGAAUGCAUUGCCAAUCUAUUUUCCAGAGUAAAGCGCAUGUUCAGGUGGAAGAAAUAGCAGGUCAGUGGCUUGCACGAUACUUUGUUGCAUGACAAAAGUUUGGUCAGCCAUCAAAGAAACUCCAAUCUAGUCACCAUGGCAAAUUCUUGGAAAAGGGUUUUGAUGCUAAUGCCUAUCCUAAAUGGAAGGAAGCAAAACACAUAUAUAUUCUAUGAGGGAAAGAGAGUCAAAAGCUCUGGGCUUUCCUAAACAAUGGAUAUGGCGUUUAAAACAAUAUAAUGUUUCAGGAAUAGAGCCAGAGAAACGAUAAGCUUAUGGCCAAUAAUUUGAGUUUCAUCCAUUGUCAAAGUUUGACCCUCAGUUAAUUGUUGCUGCUGUUGCUGGCUUGAUGUAAAAUUUUAUGGUUUAUUCUAAUGCAGCAAACUGAAAUGCCAAAUACAUUCUCUCAGAAGUACACAGAUUAUGUGGCAGACUCGCAUAUAAGAUUAUUUGGUUUAGUGUGUGGCCCUCUUCACUCCUGUCCCACUGGAUUGUGGGUGAAGUUCGGAUCAGAGAUUGCUUCAAUUAUAUCAAACGCAUCAAAGGCAUGUCAAUGCCAAGAAAUUACCAUUGUCAUCGGUGGAUUUGAAAAAACGAAAGUUGUAGAUAUUCAAAUUAGGACAGGCUACUCUAUGUUGUCUUCUAAUCCAUUGCCUUACCUUGAAGGUGAUUUUGAGAAUUGAUGGCUUAAAUAUAAGAUAAAAUUCGUAAGUACCAUUUUUGGGAGGAUA